AUUCAUAAAAAUAAUGAAAAUACAAAUGUUAAAAAUGAUAAGACACACAUGUAACACACGUUUUACAAAAACUAGUUUCCAUGAAAGGAGGCUUCAACCUUAGCUUGAAGGAUAUGAGGGGUGGUGGCACAUUGUCCAACUGUAUCCCUUUUGUAUCCAAUAUCAAGAUUGUAUUAUCUUUUCCUCCCUUGAUAUUUAUGCAGCUUUAUAGAGUGCAUUUUCAUAUUAAUAUAGUUUUGAUAAAAGGACAUCUGCAAAUUUUCAUAUUCCAUGCUUCCUAGCUUCUUAGCCAUGGAUUUCUUUGGUUGGAGUGUGGCACAUUGUCCAACUGUAUCCCUUUUGUAUCCAAUAUCAAGAUUGUAUUAUCUUUUCCUCCCUUGAUAUUUAUGCAGCUUUAUAGAGUGCAUUUUCAUAUUAAUAUAGUUUUGAUAAAAGGACAUCUGCAAAUUUUCAUAUUCCAUGCUUCCUAGCUUCUUAGCCAUGGAUUUCUUUGGUUGGAGUGUCCUGUCAAAAACUGAAGCAUGUGAAGGUAUACCUUGUACCCCAAUUGGUCUGUUACUCUGUUUUAA
rnacentral:misc_RNA from 1 species